AGCGAACGCUGGCGGCAGGCUUAACACAUGCAAGUCGAACGAUCCUUCGGGAUAGUGGCGGACGGGUGAGUAACACGUGGGAACGUGCCUUUUGGUUCGGAAUAACUCAGGGAAACUUGAGCUAAUACCGGAUGUGCCCUUCGGGGAAGGAUUUAUCGCCAUUAGAGCGGCCCGCGUCUGAUUAGCUUGUUGGUAAGGUAAUGGCUCACCAAGGCGACGAUCAGUAGCUGGUCNGAGAGGAUGAUCAGCCACAUUGGGACUGAGACACGGCCCAAACUCCUACGGGAGGCAGCAGUGGGGAAUCUUGCGCAAUGGGCGAAAGCCUGACGCAGCCAUGCCGCGUGAAUGAUGAAGGUCUUAGGAUUGUAAAAUUCUUUC
rnacentral:rRNA from 1 species